GCAUGUUCACAUGAUUAAAGGUAUUCCGGUAGACGAUGGGGAUGCGUUCCAUUAGAUAGUAGGCGGGGUAACGGCCCACCUAGUCUUCGAUGGAUAGGGGUUCUGAGAGGAAGGUCCCCCACAUUGGAACUGAGACACGGUCCAAACUCCUACGGGAGGCAGCAGUGAGGAAUAUUGGUCAAUGGGCGAGAGCCUGAACCAGCCAAGUAGCGUGAAGGAUGACUGCCCUAUGGGUUGUAAACUUCUUUUAUAAAGGAAUAAAGUCGGGUAUGCAUACCUGUUUGCAUGUACUUUAUGAAUAAGGAUCGGCUAACUCCGUGCCAGCAGCCGCGGUAAUACGGAGGAUCCGAGCGUUAUCCGGAUUUAUUGGGUUUAAAGGGAGCGUAGAUGGAUGUUUAAGUCAGUUGUGAAAGUUUGCGGCUCAACCGUAAAAUUGCAGUUGAUACUGGAUAUCUUGAGUGCAGUUGAGGCAGGCGGAAUUCGUGGUGUAGCGGUGAAAUGCUUAGAUAUCACGAAGAACUCCGAUUGCGAAGGCAGCCUGCUAAGCUGCAACUGACAUUGAGGCUCGAAAGUGUGGGUAUCAAACAGGAUUAGAUACCCUGGUAGUCCACACGGUAAACGAUGAAUACUCGCUGUUUGCGAUAUACAGCAAGCGCC
rnacentral:rRNA from 1 species